AUUGAACGCUGGCGGCAUGCCUUACACAUGCAAGUCGAACGGCAGCACGGGUGCUUGCACCUGGUGGCGAGUGGCGAACGGGUGAGUAAUACAUCGGAACGAACCUUAUCGUGGGGGAUAACGCAGCGAAAGCUGUGCUAAUACCGCAUACGCCCUGAGGGGGAAAGCGGGGGAUCGAAAGACCUCGCGCGAUUAGAGCGGCCGAUGCCUGAUUAGCUUGUUGGUGGGGUAAAAGCCCACCAAGGCGACGAUCAGUACCGGGUCUGAGAGGACGAUCAGCCACACUGGGACUGAGACACGGCCCAGACUCCUACGGGAGGCAGCAGUGGGGAAUUUUGGACAAUGGGGGCAACCCUGAUCCAGCAAUGCCGCGUGAGUGAAGAAGGCCUUCGGGUUGUAAAGCUCUUUUGUCAGGGAAGAAACACCGGCUCUAACACAGUCCGGGAAUGACGGUACCUGAAGAAUAAGCACCGGCUAACUACGUGCCAGCAGCCGCCGUAA
rnacentral:rRNA from 1 species